rnacentral:rRNA from 1 species
CAGGGAUUGCCCUAGUAACGGCGAGUGAAGCGGCAACAGCUCAAAUUUGAAAGCUAGCCUUCGGGUUCGCAUUGUAAUUUGUAGAGGAUGAUUUGGGGAAGCCGCCUGUCUAAGUUCCUUGGAACAGGACGUCAUAGAGGGUGAGAAUCCCGUAUGUGACAGGAAAUGGCACCCUAUGUAAAUCUCCUUCGACGAGUCGAGUUGUUUGGGAAUGCAGCUCUAAAUGGGAGGUAAAUUUCUUCUAAAGCUAAAUAUUGGCGAGAGACCGAUAGCGCACAAGUAGAGUGAUCGAAAGAUGAAAAGCACUUUGGAAAGAGAGUUAAAAAGCACGUGAAAUUGUUGAAAGGGAAGCGCUUGCAAUCAGACUUGUUUAAACUGUUCGGCCGGUCUUCUGACCGGUUUACUCAGUUUGGACAGGCCAGCAUCAGUUUCGGCGGCCGGAUAAAGGCUCUGGGAAUGUGGCCUCCACUUCGGUGGAGGUGUUAUAGCCCAGGGUGUAAUACGGCCAGCCGGGACUGAGGUCCGCGCUUCGGCUAGGAUGCUGGCGUAAUGGUUGUAAGCGACCCGUCUUGAAACACGGACCAAGGAGUCUAACAUCUAUGCGAGUGUUCGGGUGUCAAACCCCUGCGCGUAAUGAAAGUGAACGGAGGUGGGAACCCGCAAGGGUGCACCAUCGACCGAUCCUGAUGUCUUCGGAUGGAUUUGAGUAAGAGCAUAGCUGUUGGGACCCGAAAGAUGGUGAACUAUGCCUGAAUAGGGUGAAGCCAGAGGAAACUCUGGUGGAGGCUCGCAGCGGUUCUGACGUGCAAAUCGAUCGUCAAAUUUGGGUAUAGGGGCGAAAGACUAAU